GGGGGGGGGGGGGCAAGGGCUAGAGGGAGGCAGGGAGUAGAGAGUGACUGCCUAAUGGGUACCGAGCCUUAUUUUGGGGUGAUAAAAAUGCUUUAGAAAUAGGUCAAGGUGGUGGUUGAUGAGGCUUGGGGUGAUAGUGGGGUUCGUGGGGUCAGGAGCCGACGGCGAAGAAAGAAUUCUGGAAGAUGUCUUUGGCGCAAAAAGGUGAUUUUAUUAAAACACGGGCACGACGGGCCUGCCUCCACGCAGGUGCAAGGGUGUUGUGUGUGCACGCACACACGCGCGUCAACAUGGAGAUGGGGUACACUGCUCCCCGCUUCAGCCCCAGCCCGUUUUCCUAUCCAUGCAGUUAGGGACUUAAUUUAAAAUCCCUAUUUUGUAGGUUCGCCGCCUUCAAAACACACUGCUACAACAUUCUAAUAAAGGCUCCUUUAAACCCCUUUGUCAAAAAACAAAAACAAACACGGGCACGGGACCGGCGGGCAGGAAGAGCUGCCCCAGGGACCAUGAAGAGACACUGGUUACACACUUGGGAGCUGGGGGAGGUGAAGCCAAGGGGGAGUUUCCAGUGGGAUUUCCACAGACUAAAGCAGACUCCCGGGGUACUGGAGGCCUAGCGGUCGUCAAGCCAAGGUUGUUUUUCCCUCUGGCAAAGUGUUACUACUAAGUAGGGAGUUCCGGGAGAAACGUUAUCUGCCGUUUCCUUCUGCCUCCUUUUCCCACACCACUGGGCCUACAACCAUGCGAAUGUUCUAAAUCCCACUAUAUGGUACACCUCGAACGGGUCGACUUGAUGUUAUGGGGGUUUCACCUCCGUCAAAAAAAUAAAUAAAUGGACAGCUUAAAA